UAGAAUAAACCAGGGUGGGCUGUCGACGUCGCAAGACUAGACGCCCGCCUUUAUUCAUCCUUCACACCUGUGCACUGUAGAGCCUCUCAAAGUCUUUAUUGACGGCGAGGGUUCGCCCUUUAUACAAACAAUAGUAGUCCUAAACGUAACGUCUUAUUAUAACCUAAUA
rnacentral:misc_RNA from 1 species